UACGGGGGGGGCAAGCGUUGUUCGGAAUUACUGGGCGUAAAGGGCUCGUAGGUGGCCAACUAAGUCAGACGUGAAAUCCCUCGGCUCAACCGGGGAACUGCGUCUGAUACUGGGUGGCUUGAAUCCGGGAGAGGGAUGCAGAAUUCCAGGUGUAGCGGUGAAAUGCGUAGAUAUCUGGAGGAAUACCGGUGGCGAAGGCGGCAUCCUGGACCGGCAUUGACGCUGAGGAGCGAAAGCUAGGGGAGCAAACGGG
rnacentral:rRNA from 1 species